GACGAACGCUGGCGGCGUGCCUAAUACAUGCAAGUCGAACGAGAGCGACCGGUGCUUGCACUGGUCAAUCUAGUGGCGAACGGGUGAGUAACACGUGGGUAACCUGCCCAUCAGAGGGGGAUAACAUUCGGAAACGGAUGCUAAAACCGCAUAGGUCUUCGAACCGCAUGGUUUGAAGAGGAAAAGAGGCGCAAGCUUCCGCUGAUGGAUGGACCCGCGGUGCAUUAGCUAGUUGGUGAGGUAACGGCUCACCAAGGCCGUGAUGCAUAGCCGACCUGAGAGGGUGAUCGGCCACAUUGGGACUGAGACACGGCCCAAACUCCUACGGGAGGCAGCAGUAGGGAAUCUUCCGCAAUGGACGCAAGUCUGACGGAGCAACGCCGCGUGAGUGAAGAAGGUUUUCGGAUCGUAAAACUCUGUUGUUAGAGAAGAAUAAGUGCUAGAGUAACUGUUAGCGCCUUGACGGUAUCUAACCAGAAAGCCACGGCUAACUACGUG
rnacentral:rRNA from 1 species